rnacentral:rRNA from 1 species
CGGAAGCCUGAUGCAGCAACGCCGCGUGAGGGAUGACGGCCUUCGGGUCGUAAACCUCUUUUAGCAGGGAAGAAGCGAGAGUGACGGUACCUGCAGAAAAAGCGCCGGCUAACUACGUGCCAGCAGCCGCGGUAAUACGUAGGGCGCAAGCGUUAUCCGGAAUUAUUGGGCGUAAAGAGCUCGUAGGCGGUUUGUCGCGUCUGCUGUGAAAUCCCGAGGCUCAACCUCGGGCCUGCAGUGGGUACGGGCAGACUAGAGUGCGGUAGGGGAGAUUGGAAUUCCUGGUGUAGCGGUGGAAUGCGCAGAUAUCAAGAGGAACACCGAUGGCGAAGGCAGAUCUCUGGGCCGUAACUGACGCUGAGGAGCGAAAGGGUGGGGAGCAAACAGGCUUAGAUACCCUGGUAGUCCACCCCGUAAACGUUGGGAACUAGUUGUGGGGUCCAUUCCACGGAUUCCGUGACGCAGCUAACGCAUUAAGUUCCCCGCCUGGGGAGUACGGCCGCAAGGCUA